rnacentral:rRNA from 1 species
CAGUAGCCGCGGUAAUACGAAGGAUGCAAGCGUUACUCGGAAUUACUGGGCGUAAAGCGUGCGUAGGUGGUGGUUUAAGUCCGUUGUGAAAGCCCUGGGCUCAACCUGGGAAUUGCAGUGGAUACUGGGUCACUAGAGUGUGGUAGAGGAUAGUGGAAUUUCCGGUGUAGCAGUGAAAUGCGUAGAGAUCGGAAGGAACAUCUGUGGCGAAGGCGACUAUCUGGGCCAACACUGACACUGAGGCACGAAAGCGUGGGGAGCAAACAGGAUUAGAUACCCCUGUAGUCCCUGUCUCUUAUAC